rnacentral:rRNA from 1 species
UACAGAGGCCCCAAGCGUUGUUCGGAUUUACUGGGCGUAAAGCGUGCGUAGGCGGCGAGGCAAGUCAGAUGUGAAAUCUCGGGGCUCAACCCCGAAACUGCAUCCGAAACUGCCUUGCUAGAGGACUGGAGAGGAAUCUGGAAUUCACGGUGUAGCAGUGAAAUGCGUGGAUAUCGUGAGGAAGACCAAUGGCGAAGGCAGGACUCUGGACAGUUCCUGACGCUGAGGCACGAAGGCUAGGGGAGCGAAAAGG